CCUACGGGUGGCUGCAGUGAGGAAUAUUGGUCAAUGGGCGCGAGUCUGAACCAGCCAAGUAGCGUGAAGGAUGACAGCCCUACGGGUUGUAAACUUCUUUUAUAAAGGAAUAAAGUGAGGCACGUGUGCCUUUUUGUAUGUACUUUAUGAAUCAGGCUCGGCUAACUCCGUGCCAGCAGCCGCGGUAAUACGGAGGAUCCGAGCGUUAUCCGGAUUUAUUGGGUUUAAAGGGAGCGUAGAUGGGUUGUUAAGUCAGUUGUGAAAGUUUGCGGCUCAACCGUAAAAUUGCAAUUGAUACUGGCAGUCUUGAGUACAGUUGAGGGAGGCGGAAUUCGUGGUGUAGCGGUGAAAUGCUUAGAUAUCACGAAGAACUCCGAUUGCGAAGGCAGCUUACUAAACUGCCACUGACAUUGAUGCUCGAAAGUGUGGGUAGCAAACAGGAUUAGAUACCCGUGUAGUC
rnacentral:rRNA from 1 species